rnacentral:rRNA from 1 species
GAUGAACGCUGGCGGCGUGCCUAAUACAUGCAAGUCGAGCGAACAGACGAGGAGCUUGCUCCUCUGACGUUAGCGGCGGACGGGUGAGUAACACGUGGAUAACCUACCUAUAAGACUGGGAUAACUUCGGGAAACCGGAGCUAAUACCGGAUAAUAUAUUGAACCGCAUGGUUCAAUAGUGAAAGACGGUUUUGCUGUCACUUAUAGAUGGAUCCGCGCCGCAUUAGCUAGUUGGUAAGGUAACGGCUUACCAAGGCAACGAUGCGUAGCCGACCUGAGAGGGUGAUCGGCCACACUGGAAAGAAGACACGGUGCAGACUCCUACGGGCGGCAGCAGUAGGGAUUCUGCCGCAAUGGGAGAAAGGCUGACGGAGCACCGCCGCGUGAGUGAAGAAGGUCGUCGGAUAGUAAAACUCUGUUAUUAGGGAAGAACAAAUGUGUAAGCAACUAUGAACGUCUUGACGGUACCUCAUCAGAGAGCCACGGCUAACUAC